CCUACGGGUGGCAGCAGUGGGGAAUAUUGGGCAAUGGGCGCAAGCCUGACCCAGCAACGCCGCGUGACGGAAGAAGGCUUUCGGGUUGUAAACUUCUUUUCUCAGGGACGAAGCACGUGACGGUCCCUGAGGAAUAAGCCACGGCUAACUACGUGCCAGCAGCCGCGGUAAUACGGAGGGUGCGAGCGUUAAUCGGAAUUACUGGGCGUAAAGCGCUCGUAGGCGGUAUGUCAAGUCAAGGGUGAAAUCCCCGCGCUAAACGUGGGAACUGCCUUUGAAACUGGCAAACUGGAGUGUGUGAGAGGAUAGUGGAAUUCCAGGUGUAGGAGUGAAAUCCGUAGAUAUCGGGAGGAACAUCAGGGGCGAAGGCGACUAUCUGGCACAUAACUGACGCUGAGGAGCGAAAGCGUGGGUAGCAAACAGGAUUAGAUACCCUAGGAGUC
rnacentral:rRNA from 1 species